AACGAACGCUGGCGGCGUGGAUAAGACAUGCAAGUCGAGCGCUGAUUUGAAGGUAGCAAUAUUUUCAAGUCGGAGCGGCGCAAGGGUGCGUAACACGUGGGAAUCUGCCUUGAAGUGUGGGAUAACUCCGAGAAAUCGGAGCUAAUACCGCAUGUGAUUGUAAAUUAAAGUUGGGAUCGUAAGACCUGACGCUUCAAGAUGAGCCCGCGGCCUAUCAGCUAGUUGGUGAGGUAAUGGCUCACCAAGGCUAAGACGGGUAGCUGGUCUGAGAGGACGACCAGUCACACUGGAACUGAGACACGGUCCAGACACCUACGGGUGGCAGCAGUCGAGAAUUUUUCUCAAUGGGCGAAAGCCUGAAGGAGCGACGCCGCGUGGGGGAUGAAUGGCUUCGGCCCGUAAACCCCUGUCAUUUGCGAACAAAUUGCUUCAACUAACACGUGAAGUAUUGAUUGUAGCGGAAGAGGGAAAGGGACGGCUAACUCUGUGCCAGCAGCCG
rnacentral:rRNA from 1 species